UGCCGCUGGCGGACGGCCGCUCUCCGGUUUCGGCCGGGGGGAGGAAAGUCCGGACUCCACAGGGCAGGAAGUCCCGCUGAAAGGUGGGAUACCGCGGACCAGAUGCCGCGGGAAGGAAAGUGCCACAGAAAACAUACCGCCCGCCGUCGCUUCGGCGAGGGCGGGUAAGGGUGAAAAGGUGGGGUAAGAGCCCACCGCCCCGAGAGAGAUCGAGGGGGCCGUGCAAACCCCUUCCGGAGCAAGACCAAAUAGGGGACAAUGAUGUGGCCCGCAUCGCUCCUGCCGCAAGGCAGGUGAAGUCCCGGGUACCGGUCGCUUAGAGGAAUGGUCGUCGUCCCGCCCUCGGGCGGGGUCACAGAAUCCGGCUUACAACCAGCGGCAACCA
rnacentral:RNase_P_RNA from 3 species